rnacentral:rRNA from 1 species
AAAAGAUAUUAUUGGAUAAAAUUAAAAGAGGACAUUGUCCUUAAUGAGUCCAGCCCAUGUCCGACAAGAGAUAGAGAUAGAGAAAGAUAUAGAGAUAGAUAAAGAGAGAGAGGGAGAGAUAGAAAAGAUUUAAUAUUUUUGGUAUAAUUAUAGAAAUUAGACUUUGAAAAUAUGAUGGAUAAUUGGCUUAAGAGCUGUAAGUUAAAUGAAAUAAAGAGAAAACGGCUACAAGUUGUAGCCCCCCCAGAAAUAUAUAGGAGGUGAAUUUUGUGGCAGAGCAAAAUAAGGAAAUUGUAGUUAUAGAUGAAACUACAAUUAAAAGUAAGAUUUACUAUAUACGAAAUCAAAAGGUUAUGCUUGAUUUUGAACUUGCUGAAAUAUAUGGGUAUGAAACAAGAGCUUUUAAUCAACAGGUAAAAAGAAAUAAUGAAAAAUUUGAUGAUGAUUUUAUGUUCCAAUUAACCGAUGAAGAAGUAUAUGAACUUUCAAGAUCACAAAAUGUGACCUUGAAGAGAGGAACAGGUAGAGGAAGCAAUAUAAAGUAUAAUCCAUAUGCCUUUACAGAACAGGGAAUAUAUAUGCUAAUGACUGUAUUGAGGGGAGAACUUGCUGUUAAACAGAGCAAGGCUUUAAUACGAAUGUUUAAGCAAAUGAAAGACUUUAUUAUUGAAAAUCAAGAUUUUAUCAGUUCAAAAGAAUUAGUACAAAUUGCCAUUCAAACCAACCAAAACACAAAAGAUAUUGCAGAAAUAAAAUCUCAAAUGGCUACAAAAGAAGAUUUGAAAAAGGUAAUGGACAAUUUUAUAGACCCAGAAACAUAUAAACAUUUUCUCUUGAUGAAUGGAGAUAAGAUAGAAGCUGAUGUUGCCUAUACAAAAAUAUAUAAAUCAGCAAAGAAAAGUAUUUAUGUUAUAGAUAACUAUAUAGGGCUUAAAACAUUAGAACUUUUAAGAGCUGCAAGAGAUAAGACUCAAAUCAUAGUCUUUAGCGAUAAUGUUAAAAACAAGGAUAUGCUUACAAAAAAUAUCUUAGAUGAUUUUAGAAAAGACUAUCCUAAUAUAGACCUGAAACUGAAAAUAGCGA